rnacentral:siRNA from 1 species
CUGAUACGACUUUGUUUGCUCCA